rnacentral:rRNA from 1 species
GGUAUUGAAAUAAGAUUUUAAAUGAGUGCUAAGAGAAUGAUUAAACAAUUAAAAGCUUUCUUUAAUUAAAUAAUUAAAUUUAAUUUUUUUAGUGCAAAAGCAAAAAUAAAAUUUAGGGACAAGAAGACCCUAUGAAUUUUUAUUGUUAAUAAUUAAAAUUUAAAUUAUUAAUAAUUUAAUUGGGGCGAUAAAAAAAGAAUAAGUAUCUUUUUAGUUAUAAAAUAAGUUCCGUUUUUAGCGAUUAAAUGAAAUAAAUACUCUAGGGAUAACAGCGUAAUAA